ACGGGCGAGCCGCAACUUUAAGAAUAUUGCCAAAACACUUGCCAGGAGACAUCAGAUGCAACAGUGUUGGGAACAGGCAAACAGUAGCUGCUUAGGGAAAAAGUUCAUGCUUGCUGCUGAUACCGAGAUGUACCCAUACAUGCCCUUCCAGGGUCCCUCACCCGAGCUCUGCAGUGUAAACUUGGGGAAAAUGUAACACUUGGCCAUGUCAUUAAAACCAAGUCCAUUACUGUGGAUAAUGUGGCAUACAAGAUGGGCAGCUGUCUUGUUAUUGAAACUGCACAUGCAGAUGAUAUUCCAGUGUUUAUGAAGAUCUACCACAUUUUUUUAGUCUUGGGCAGCUGGUAUCUAUGUGGAACAAUCUUAAGACCCUCCACUUUUAACGGCCAUCUACACUGCUACAUGGUUGAGGAAGACACACACUGGAUAGUUGUGUUGCCUGGUGAAGAACAAGCUUUCAAUGGUCUGGAUAGUUACUUCAAUUCAGAUGGCAGACUCACUGUUUCUCUUCGACACUGCAUAUAAAGGUUAUUCAAAUGAUUAAUUAUUAUGUUAAUGUUACCGGCGUUUACAAACAGAACCCAUUAAGCCUAAAUGCAGAAAUCAUAAAGUAAGCCUAUUGCAUGUUUUAAGGUAUUGCUUUCUGUCAUUUGCAGAGCACCUAAUCAAUGGUGAGACACUCCUUUCCCUGAGUGAGAAGAUGAUUGAUAAAUUAUACCCCAUCAUCAAGACACAAGUAAAAUUCACCAAAUUACUUGCUAAUUUAAAAGGAAAAGAUCUCCCUAAAUUCACUGGAAGGAAGCAACUCCAUCAGCAUGGCCUAAUUCCUUUCAGCUACCUGAGUUUCCAACUGUCCUGAAACGCAAACUCAUGGAGGAGAGUUUGAACUUUCAUAACCCUGCCUAAAGAUCAUUUCCCAGAUCAUUCAAGUCCUGUUUGACACAAUUUGUAUGUACACAUGGUAAGUUUAGCCUGAGGCAAUGUUUUUGUAAUGACGCUGGGUUUCUUUUGCAUUCAUUCAGUCAUGGGGUGCCACCAUGGCAAAAUCAUUAGCACUACAGCUGAAAAAAAUGGAGAACUAAACAAAACUGCAUAUUUAAGGUACCCAACUAGUAGGCAGUACCAUGAUGUUUGUGCUACUCUUGUAUCUAAACGUCCUUUAUUCCGGGAUCGCACAGGACAAGGAUAUGUAAGUAAAUUAUUAAAGGUCCAGUGUAUAGGAUCUGCAAGACCGAAGCAUUUUGCUUUGAAUUUCCUUUUAUUCUCCUUGUCCUACCUUUCAUGGUUGGGAAUGCUUAAAAAUAAGUUUAAAAAGGAGCGAAACCCACUUGUCAAUCCUGAGGUAGAGUAUCACAGAGAAAAGCAUGGCAAAAGGAGGCUGUCAGUGUCUUCAGCAGAAUGGAGGCACAACAACCAGCUAAGAAAGCCAUUAUGUCUGCUGGCGAGGAAGCUGUAAUUCAAGGCCACACCUUUGCAACCUCUACUAUCAAGGUAGUAACCACCAUAAAGCCUGCUGCACACUACAAGCUUCUUACAAGAGACAUCUGCUGGCAAGGAUGGAGAUGCUCUUGGCCAUGAUGCUACAGUGGGGAGAACAAGUAUUUAAUACACUGCAGGUUUUCC